CCCUUAGACGUUCUGGGCCGCACGCGCGCUACACUGGCCGGUGCAACAAGCAUCGGUCCUUGGCCGACAGGCCCGGGCAAUCUUUGAACGCCGGUCGUGAUGGGGAUAGACUUUUGCAAUUUUUGGUCUUCAACGAGGAAUUCCUAGUAAACGCAAGUCAUCAACUUGCAUUGAUUACGUCCCUGCCCUUUGUACACACCGCCCGUCGCACCUACCGAUUGAAUGGUCCGGUGAAGCCUCCGGAUUGGCGCGCACCUCGGUGCCGCCGAGAAGUUGGCUAAACCUUACCAUUUAGAGGAAGGUGAAGUCGUAACA
rnacentral:rRNA from 1 species